AGAGUUUCCCAAAGGACUUCAUCCAUCCUGAACCUCCAUCAGCACUGAAUUUCUCUUGAGAAAAAAAAAAAUCAAGUGAGUCAACUCAAGUGAGCCAUGGAGCAGAAGACGAAUGAGUGUCCCACCACCACCUCUCCUCAGAAGCAGAUGAAGAACAGGUCCAAAUCCACAGAGGAGAUGCAACAGACAAAGAAGGCCUUUUCCUCACAAAAAUCACUCCCAGGCAGACCAGAUUUGGACAGAGUGAAGGAGUGUCUUGAUGGCUCUGACACGACCUCGCCCUCCAACGAAGAAAUAAAGUGAUAAAUAAAAGGACCAAUAGGACAAUAAAAUUGAUAUCAAGCUACAUGAUCAUCAUAAAAACACAUAAAAAUUUACAUAUGUACACAGGGAAACAAAUGUGAGAAUAAUAUUAAACUAUGUUAUAACACAUGCAAGCAAGUAAUUUAUGAUUUGAUGAAGCAAACUGUUCACACACAAACUCAUGCACACUGAGACAUUCACAUGUAAGCAG